CAAUCUGGGCAACAUAGGGAGACCCCAGCUCUAUAAAAUAAAUUUUAAAAACACACACACAAAACCAAAGAAAAUUAGCAGGGUGUGUUGGCACCUGCUUGUUGUCCUAGCUACUCAGGAGGCUGAGGUGGAAAGAUAGCUUGAGCCCAGGAGAUCAAGGCUGCAGUGAGCCAUGUUCAUUCCACUGCACUUCAGCCUGGACAACAGAGUGAGACCCUGUCUCAAAAAUAAAUAAAUAAAACAAAGAAUAGGUGUAUCCAUACAACGAAAUAUUAUCAAUCCAUAAAAAGAAUGAAGUUCUGACACCUGCUACAACAUGGGCGAAUCUAGAAAACACUAUCCGAAGUACAAGAAACCAGACACAACAGGACGAAUAUUACACAAUGCCCUUUCCAUGUAAGGUCUGGAACAGCAAAGCCAUAGAGACAGAAAGGAGAUUCAUGGUUGCCAGGGGCUGGGGAGAAGAGAAGGGAAAUGACUCCCUGGGGGCACAGGGUUUCUUUCUGCAACGAUGAACAUGUUCUGACUUAGAUAGUGGUGACGUGUGCACAACCACUGAAAUGUGCCAUUUAAAGGGGUGACCUUUAUGGUACGUUAAUUAUAUCUGAAAUUUUUUAAAAAGCCAAGGGACCAGGUGCAGUGGCUCAAGCCUAUUAUCCCAGCACUUUGGGAGGCCGAUGCAGGAGGACCACUUGAGACUAGCCUGGGCAACAUAAUGGGACCUCGUGUCUCCAAACACUAAAAAAUAAAAUAAACUAGGCAUGGUGGUGUGCACCUGUAGUCCCAGCUACUCAGGAGACUCAGGUGGGAGGAUUGCUUGAGCCCAGAAGGUGGAGGCUGCAGUGAGACGUGUUCCUUCCGCUACACUCUAGCCUGGAUGACAGAGGGAGACCCUGUCUCAAAAAACAAAAACAGGGAGCCCUCACAGAGAGCAGCCUCCAGGGAUGGCUGCCCUGCUUAUUUUUCUAUUGGAUCUGUAUUUGCUUUUUCUAAAACCUCUAUGUGAAAACAUCCAACCUUUGAGCAGAAGAUCUAUGCAACAGCUUGCCGGAGGGAGUGGAAGUAAGGAAAUGCUGAUGGAUUUUGUUUGGUGGUGGUGAUUGGGGUGGGGUGCAGGGGACUUUUACUGUUAUUUCUAGUGUUUUAUUUGACUGUCAAAUAUCUGCUCAGCCACUUUAAAACAGCAGGAUGGGAAUGCAAAGCCAAAUAAUUCAAGAUAACAUUUUUUGCUUCAUUCCCUAGAUGGUAUCAGUAACUCUACAGACUAACAGCAGUUCCAGCUGGUGGGUCCCUCAUGCUUCGUGAACUAUUUGUACCAGACGGAAAGUCUGUAAAUAAAUCUUCUCUCUGUGUCUUUUAGCUUCAGCCAGAACUAUCUCUUUCUCUUCAUGGCUCCCAAUUUCAACCAGACAGUACGGUAUCAUGGAAUCAAUUCAUCAGUUCAUCACCAUAUUUUUUGGUCUUCAAAGUAAACCAAGCUUGUCACCUGAAAGUGAAACUUCCUUCAAUGUAUUUGUUUGUUUUUGUUUUUGUUUUGUUUUUUAGACGGGGCUUCACUCUUGUUGCCCCAGCUGGAGUGCAAUGGCGCGAUCUCAGCUGACUGCAACCUCCUCCUCCCAGGUUGCCUAUAAUGCUUUACAAUUAUGAAGGAUAAUGCUACCAGGAAUAUCUUCAUCUGUGUGGCUUUUUCAUGGUCUGAAGCAUUCCUUCAAGAUCCAUGCUCUGAUAUUGUGAGACUGCCAGGAGCUUUGAUACACUGCACCAAACUGUUUGACCAGAGUUGAAGCAUUUAAUAAGGAUCCCGACAACAAACAAAACAGCCAGCUAGCACACUAAGGCCAGGAGCCUAUUUUGCUCAUCCUGUAUUUAAAUAUAAUAUAUUGUACUUCUGA